UGAAACUUUGGAAUUUCUUGGUUAAUUGUAGGUCACAUGAGAGAAGGGCUUGGAUUUGACACCCUGGGCAUGAUUCCUUCAAGUUCCUAACUGGAAUCUAGGGGCCAGGAAGAAGCUUGCCCAAAUGCAAGAAGAGUUCCCCCGGCACAGGACAGAAGUCUUCAUGAGGACAGGCAGAGAUCCCUGUAAAACUGCCUGUAUCUGCGUGAUGUUGCUAAUUUACCAAAGCCCAGGAAAAAGAGCUGUGAUGGCUGCAGUGAUGAGCCCGAGGAAUGUUGCUGGCAUUGAGAGCUCUCCGCUGUGUCACACAUUCCUGUGUUUUGCAGUCACAUUAAGAUCUGAAGGAAUUAGCCCCAGGAAAGCUCGGAGUUUAUUUCAGGCUGCCUUCCCCAGGAAGGAAUCAUUCCUGAGCUGUAAGAGCCCAGCCCUGGCUAUGUGCAGUGGUACACAGAUGUUCUACAACAUGCCUGGAAGCAGGCCAGCAAUAUUCGCACAUCACUGGAUUUAACAGUUUCAGAUGUCUCCACAUCACGUUCCCCAUCAUGUCCGAAUCUGUUCCCAUGGGAAGGCAGACACCCCAGACAGAAAGGCCAGGCAGGAUGGAAGGAAAGCCUGUCAUCUGGAACCUUCCUCCCCCAGGCACCUGCAGUGCCCCAAGGACAAGGUCUCAAGGACUGUUCCUCUUCGAGCACAGGCAGAGAGCAGUCUCCAGCUGCCAGUUCUGCUCUCCAUCUCCUUCAGGUAUCUCCGCACCACCAGCUAAGCCACAAUCAGCAAAAAUAUGGUGUCUGUCAAACAAUCAACAUAUGUUUGUAUGAAGCAAAUGGAUUGUCUGGGGAUAUCUGUGUGAAUAUUACAAAAUCUGCUCCUAAACUGAAAAAGAGGGAAACAUACUGAAGAACAUGUUUUCUCCACAAAACAGCUUUCUGACGAGCACUGUUCCCCAGUGAUUGUGACGGCCCACAAGAACUUUCAGCUGUUGGUCCUUCAGGUCACCAUGAGCUUUUUGUCUGUCCGUGGCUGUGAGAACAGCUCCUGCUAUUUGGAAUUGACCAACCUGUGCAGCCUACCCCGGGGCUGAGCUGCUGGCUGCAGCAGAGGAUGGGUUUGUGCUGCAAGGAGCAGUGCUCAGCGGAAGCCCAUCUGGUGCAAGGUUUUCAAGCUGCUUUGCUCAGCCACUUGAGUGUGCCACUCCAUUCCCAGCACUUCUCUGCAUGGAGAGACUGGGCUGGGCAUUGCAGAGAUGUUUUCUUCAUGAGAAGGACUUUCCCGAGACACUGCAGCUGGUGGAAGGGCUGAGUAAAGGUGGUAAUGCCACUAGUUCUGGGAGACGUAUUGCUUCACUCUGUCAGUGAGUGUAAAUCCACCACUGCUAUGAACAUUGCACAAGCACAUCCCUUCUUGGAAAAUAAAAGUCCGUCUUUAUCUCAGUCUCAGGAAUUUUGUAGUAUUUAAAUCUCCAGUUUGCGUACCAGGCUCUCUGAUACUCCUGUGCCACUCAGUAAAGUAAAUCCAAAGCAGAUUUUGUUUGGCUUUCCCAUGCCUCAGUAGUCCCC
ensembl:lncRNA